AGUGAACGCUGGCGGUAGGCCUAACACAUGCAAGUCGAACGGCAGCACAGUAAGAGCUUGCUCUUACGGGUGGCGAGUGUCGGACGGGUGAGGAAUACAUCGGAAUCUUCUUUUUCGUGGGGGAUAACGUAGGGAAACUUACGCUAAUACCGCAUACGACCUACGGGUGAAAGCAGGGGAUCCUCGGACCUUGCGCGAUUGAAUGAGCCGAUGUCGGAUUAGCUAGUUGGCGGGGUAAAGGCCCACCAAGGCGACGAUCCGUAGCUGGUCUGAGAGGAUGAUCAGCCACAGUGGAAGUUAGAGGCGGUGCGGAUUCCCAAGGGAGGCAGCGGUAGGGAAAUAUGGACAAUAGGCAAAGGACGGAGCCAGGAAUACCGCGUGGGUGAAGAAGGCCUUCGGGUUGUAAAGCGCUUUUGUUGGGGAAGAAAAGCAGCAGGUUAAUACCCCGCUGUUCUGACGGUACCCGAAGAGUAAGCACCGGCUAACUUCGUG
rnacentral:rRNA from 1 species